rnacentral:rRNA from 1 species
ACGGGUGAGUAAUACAUCGGAACAUGUCCUGUAGUGGGGGAUAGCCCGGCGAAAGCCGGAUUAAUACCGCAUACGAUCUAUGGAUGAAAGCGGGGGACCUUCGGGCCUCGCGCUAUAGGGUUGGCCGAUGGCUGAUUAGCUAGUUGGUGGGGUAAAGGCCUACCAAGGCGACGAUCAGUAGCUGGUCUGAGAGGACGACCAGCCACACUGGGACUGAGACACGGCCCAGACUCCUACGGGAGGCAGCAGUGGGGAAUUUUGGACAAUGGGCGAAAGCCUGAUCCAGCAAUGCCGCGUGUGUGAAGAAGGCCUUCGGGUUGUAAAGCACUUUUGUCCGGAAAGAAAUCCUUGGCUCUAAUACAGUCGGGGGAUGACGGUACCGGAAGAAUAAGCACCGGCUAACUACGUGCCAGCAGCCGCGGUAAUACGUAGGGUGCAAGCGUUAAUCGGAAUUACUGGGCGUAAAGCGUGCGCAGGCGGUUUGCUAAGACCGAUGUGAAAUCCCCGGGCUCAACCUGGGAACUGCAUUGGUGACUGGCAGGUUAGAGUAUGGCAGAGGGGGGUAGAAUUCCACGU